GGUGGGGUGGCUUACUAGAUUACCUGGGAAAAAAAGGACACAGGGAGAACAUGCAAUCUCAUAGUCAGCUUUCUAUAGUUAUUCUUUCAGUAAAUUUAUUCUAUAGAAGAAUAAACUGAAAUGCACUGAAUUUUUUUGUAUAUAUGCACAUACUGCAGAAAUAAAUCCCAUCUACUAAGCUCACAUAACCCAAUUUGGAAUAUAAAGGAUCUGGAACUUCUAAUUGAGGCAAGGAAGGGUCCAAUCAUGGCCACACCAACCUGUUUAGAGUCAAUAGGCAAGUUAAAAUGUAAUUUAGGUCUUUGGAGUGUAUACAAAAACCUGAGUAUAAAAAAAACUUACAUACACUGCCAGCCAAAAAAAAAGUUGCACACUAUUAUGUUGUUGUACCACCUUUAGCUUUGAUUACAGUGCACAUUUGUCAUGGUAUUGUUUUGGUGAAUGUCUUAACAUUUACUGUUUGUCCAGAU